rnacentral:sRNA from 1 species
UAUUCUUCCUAUUCGGGAAGGAUGAGAAGCUUCGACCAAGGUUCGAUUCGAGCGUUAGCGAGAAAGCGUUGCCGCAGGCAACGACCCGAAGGGCGAAGCGCGCAGCGCUGAGUAAUCCUUCCCCCACCACCA